rnacentral:lncRNA from 1 species
CCCUGACCCACAGCAGGGCUCAGCCAGCCCUUGGCCACGUCCCUCUGAUCCUCCUUGGAGCUGGGAGCCUGGAGCAGCCCGGGCUGGGCUGGGCACUCACCUGGGAACAGGAUAAAUGGAUAAAUGGUCAUGAGAGGCACGAAUCUGCAUUUCCUUACACUGCUUAAACUUCCAUCAUCCAGCUGAAGGUGCUGUUCAACGCCCCAUGCAGCCUGGUGUUUGCAGCCUCCAGGAAACGCAAAGCCUUGAGAAGUCUGGAUCCUGCAAUCCUUCUGCCCCUGCAAAGAGCUCCCAGAUGCACAGAGUGUGCCCUGAGUGUGCCCCAGCUCCUGAAACUCCAGGGGAGCCAGAGCAUCCAUCCCAUGGGUAAAACCUCCCUCCACAGCACCCCAAAAUAUUGCAUUUUCCCCAAACAUCACCCGCUCAAGGGGGAAGGAACAGCUCCUGCGAGCUGAAUUUCAGAUUCCUGAGGAAACCUGGCUUCCUG